rnacentral:rRNA from 1 species
GAUGAACGCUGGCGGCGUGCCUAAUACAUGCAAGUCGAGCGAACAGACGAGGAGCUUGCUCCUCUGACGUUAGCGGCGGACGGGUGAGUAACACGUGGAUAACCUACCUAUAAGACUGGGAUAACUUCGGGAAACCGGAGCCAAUACCGGAUAAUAUAUUGAACCGCAUGGUUCAAUAGUGAAAGACGGUUUUGCUGUCACUUAUAGAUGGAUCCGCGCCGCAUUAGCUAGUUGGUAAGGUAACGGCUUACCAAGGCAACGAUGCGUAGCCGACCUGAGAGGAUGAUCAGCCACACUGGAACUGAGACACGGUCCAGACUCCUACGGGAGGCAGCAGUAGGGAAUAUUCCGCAAUGGGCGAAAGCCUGACGGAGCAACGCCGCGUGAGUGAUGAAGGUCUUCGGAUCGUAAAACUCUGUUAUUAGGGAAGAACAAAUGUGUAAGUAACUAUGCACGUCUUGACGGUACCUAAUCAGAAAGCCACGGCUAACUACGUG